ACAUAGGAAUUAAAGAGAUAAAUAGAACACCACAUAUCAAAGUUUGGAGGAUUUUGUUUAUAACUGCUUUUGUUGGAGAUGGUUCAAUAACAUUAACUUGGUUUGAAGCAUCAUCGUUGAACCCCUGCAAAAAAUAAAAUAAAUGAUUGUGUCCUUUGAAAUGAUUUCCAUGAAUAUAAUCAAUAUAAUCACAAUAAACAACAGCUGGACCCGCCAAUAAUGUUUGGAACUGGAAGAUAAAGGCAAAAUAUUCUAAUGCUGAUGGUAUUACUUUUAUAGCAUGUCGUUUUUGCAGUGGUGUUAAGUCUUCUUCUCGUCGAGCAAUUCCAUCAUGAAUGUUGAAUGCAGUGCUGGUUACUUUCUGAGUGAUCACCAUUAAUGGACCUUGAAAAAAUCAUUUUGUCAUAUCUAUACAAUAAUUAAUUUCAUGAAUAUAUUACCUGUUAUGUCCAAAGUAUAGUAUCCAUAGGUAUACAUGAUUCGGUAAAUAUGAAUAAAUGAAAGAUAGCCAAGUGCUAAGACAAGAACUAUCCUGAAAAAUAGGAGAAUAAUUAAAUAUUAUCACAAUUUUUUUAAAUUAGUUAUUACAAUGUACUUAGACAAAGUAUUCACCGAUGUAUGUAUCGUGGAUCUUGAGUUCGUAUUACGAUGUAACAUAAUGCCGGAAGUCCUGCCAAAUGAAGAGCCUGCCUGAAAUAAUAGAUUAUAUAUUUUUAAUAAGGAGUAAUUUGAUGAUGUUCAUUAAUCUAAUAAGAAAAAAAAACUCACCAGCCGAAGCAAAAAUAACCAAGCGAGAGACCUACAAUGAGGCCAAAAGAAUGUCGAACAACAGGACCGACUUCUUGUGGUUUGAAGUAGAUUCUCAGAAUUCCAGCAAGAAAUAGAGAAGUAAAUUGACUUAUCACAAAGUUCACCUGAUGAAUGUAAGUAAUAUUUACUUUAGAAAAUAAAAUGUAAUUAUAGUCUAUUAGUUUAAUUACUAUAAUUAUCUUGUAAAUCACAGCUUUAAUGACAAUACUACUAAUAAAUAAUAUAACGUUUAAUGUGAUUUUAACGAGUUUAUUGAAAUAAUUCAUAAAUUAAUAAUACAGUUUACCAAUUAUCUUAAUAAUUUUUUAAACACAAAAACAUUUAGUAAAAAAAUUAAUAUUCGGUAGUGAGUUCUUCUUCUCCUUCUCCAUCAGCAUCUCGACGGAAUCUCAUUCCAAAAGUAGCUCCAACAUUAGGAUUAAAAUGACCACCAGGACCUUGCUGAACUCCGCCAUGUGCUCUCAAAAAUGUAUUUGGGUUUGGCUUCCAUUCGUAUUUAGCACCACCUUGAGGGUAAAAGUGUCUGAAAUCUGGAGAUGAUACUCCACCAAAAGCUUCCAAUUUAGAUUUAUCAUUGCCAAAUAUUCUCUGGUUAUAAUCCAAUUGAAGUGAAGGUUUUUCAUGUUCUGGUUUCAUCACGGAAGCUUCGACAGAUCCUUGAGGAGAACGCCGGAAUCUGUAGAUCUAAUAAAAAAAGAGGAAUUGAUAAGAGUGAUAAUCAAAUGUUGAUAAAAGUGACAUUGUAAAUGUAGUAACUUACCGGUGGAUACCUUGGUCGUGGAUUGAAUGGUGGAGUCGUUGGAAUUGGAAAUAUUGGAUGGAUUGGGAUUGGUCUUCUCAAUGGAUUAUUAAAUUCAUUGUAAGGAUCUGCUACAACAUAACAGACUGCUGCGACCAGCAUGAAUAAUAUUUUAAAUGAUGCUUGCAUUUCGGAUGAUUUAGUAAGCUAAAAAUUUUAUGAAAAUUAAAAUAUUAAUUAUUUAAUAGAAAUUUAAUGAUUUUUCAAAUUUAUAAUUAUUUUUGAUUAAAUUUUUGGUAUCUACUUACUUCUUGUAGUUUAUCUUCCUAUUGGAAAUACUUGAAGACUUAUGAUGCUUGUGAAGCAUAUUGGUUAGCUUUUAUACUCAAUUUUGUAAAGGAAAGUUCUUAGAAGUUAUACUUUUCUUUCUUUCUUUCUUCUUUUCAUUUUGAUCCGGGGAAUCCUCAUCGUUCAACUUUUCUUUUAUUCUCGAAUUUAUUCGAUCAGAAUGAUUUGCAUAAUGCAUCAUAAUUUUUUGUUUGUACACGACAGAUAAUAUUACACAGGGAGUCCCCUAACAAUGUAUCAACUACACACUAACUUACAUAUAUGAUUAUGAUGAAGAAGUGGGGAAUAUCAACAGAUGAGUCGAAUCUCUCCUUCUAUAAAUUCUCGUUCAACCGUUGUUCAGUAUUUCAUUCGUUCGCAUAAUAAUACCGAAGUAAGAUAGAGUGAACUUGACAUUAGGCUUGUCAAGAUCUGAUCUAUUAAGUGAUAGUUAUUAGCUACAAGAUAUUGUCAAUUAAAAAAAAGUUUUUAACUUUUUUUUUUUAUUUCUUGCAAAAAUAAAAUUAUCUA
rnacentral:lncRNA from 1 species